UAGGGAAUCUUCGGCAAUGGACGAAAGUCUGACCGAGCAACGCCGCGUGAGUGAAGAAGGUUUUCGGAUCGUAAAACUCUGUUGUUAGAGAAGAACAAGGACGUUAGUAACUGAACGUCCCCUGACGGUAUCUAACCAGAAAGCCACGGCUAACUACGUGCCAGCAGCCGCGGUAAUACGUAGGUGGCAAGCGUUGUCCGGAUUUAUUGGGCGUAAAGCGAGCGCAGGCGGUUUCUUAAGUCUGAUGUGAAAGCCCCCGGCUCAACCGGGGAGGGUCAUUGGAAACUGGGAGACUGGAGUGCAGAAGAGGAGAGUGGAAUUCCAUGUGUAGCGGUGAAAUGCGUAGAUAUAUGGAGGAACACCAGUGGCGAAGGCGGCUCUCUGGUCUGUAACUGACGAUGAGGCUCGAAAGCGUGGGGAGCAAACAGG
rnacentral:rRNA from 1 species